rnacentral:rRNA from 1 species
AGAGGAAGCUUGCUUCCCGAUUUAGCGGCGGACGGGUGAGUAAUGCCUAGAAUCUGCCUAUUAGUGGGGGAUAACGUUCCGAAAGGAACGCUAAUACCGCAUACGUCCUACGGGAGAAAGUGGGGGAUCUUCGGACCUCACGCUAAUAGAUGAGCCUAGGUCGGAUUAGCUAGUUGGUGGGGUAACGGCUCACCAAGGCGACGAUCCGUAGCUGGUCUGAGAGGAUGAUCAGCCACACUGGAACUGAGACACGGUCCAGACUCCUACGGGAGGCAGCAGUGGGGAAUAUUGGACAAUGGGCGAAAGCCUGAUCCAGCCAUGCCGCGUGUGUGAAGAAGGUCUUCGGAUUGUAAAGCACUUUAAGUUGGGAGGAAGGGUUGUAAGCUAAUAUCUUGCAGCUUUGACGUUACCAACAGAAUAAGCACCGGCUAACUCUGUGCCAGCAGCCGCGGUAAUACAGAGGGUGCAAGCGUUAAUCGGAAUUACUGGGCGUAAAGCGCGCGUAGGCGGCUUAGUAAGUUGGAUGUGAAAGCCCCGGGCUCAA